rnacentral:lncRNA from 1 species
UUUUACUGCCCGAUGGAUUUAACAAACACUAGGGGUUGUAGCGAACACGCAGAUUUGCUUCGAUUUUUUUUAGAUUUAAGAGCAUUUCCAAACGCUCCCGAAGCCAUUGGCUGAGAGUGUGAGCAGGCAACAGCUGCUGUUUGCCCACACAAGUGCGUCGAUAACCGGUGGAAUCGAUGGGCGCAGAAUAAAGCAGGUUCGUUGAAUCAAUUGCAGAACAGAUUGAGUGGAGAACUGAAAGCACUCUUGCAAGAAAGCAAGGUAUUUAAAUCGGGAAUUUUUAAACGGGCUUUUCUUGGAAUUUUGGAGGAUCGCUUGGAAAUGCCGAUGCGCUCCAGGCAAGGGAUUUAAGCGAAGAAGCUUCCCCUCCUUUCCCAAGCAGCUCCUGGGGAGAGCGAGGUUGAACUCUUCAUCGGAAUGGCGAUUGUACCCUGAGCUCUCAGACUUUGUGGUGUUGUUUGUUUGGGGUAUCCAGCUGAAUCAUACCCAUGUUGGCAGAUAAGAAGUCUUGCAGCUUUGAAAACUACAUAUAUAAGCAGUAAGACGCAUUCAAUACGUUUCCAUCAGCAUUUUUCAUUCAGUUUGCACGACAAAAAGUGAGUUUCCAUUUUGUGUAACCAAGA